GCAAUCUUAGGCUUGUCCCUCAGGCCUGGGGUGAGGAUUCUGGGAGGUGUGGGAGCCCUGCUGGCUCUACAGCCCUCCAACAACUGACCAGGAAGAGGGAUUCUGGGAAAACUCCCUGGAUCAAGUGCCAGCCUGGGCCUGAAGCUGGGCACUGGGAGGGACACACACAGGGAUAGCCUGGAUCAGAAGACAGGCCACCAACACAGAGCUGUGGGCCUGGGUUACAAGAACGAACGCGGAGACCCUCGUCCCUGGAGUACGUGGUGGUGAGAAAGUGCGUCCUAAGGUUUGGACAGUGCAGUCGGAGCAGAUCGGGAGCAUGUUUAAAGGUGGUGCCUACAGGACUCAGGGUAAAAACAAGGGGAAGUAUUCCCAGUGGAAGUAAGUGGCCUGAUAUGAGGAAAAGAAGGCACAGCCAAAAAAGCUUCACAAAAUAGUGAGUGGCUGAAAUUCACUGAGAGUCUAGUUGUGGAGGACGUCACUUCACUGGCCCAAGUUGGC